rnacentral:rRNA from 1 species
UGCAGUCGACGGCAGCACGGGGGCAACCCUGGUGGCGAGUGGCGAACGGGUGAGUAACAUAUCGGAACGUGCCCUGGAGUGGGGGAUAACUAGUCGAAAGAUUAGCUAAUACCGCAUACGAUCUACGGAUGAAAGUGGGGGAUCGCAAGACCUCAUGCUCGUGGAGCGGCCGAUAUCUGAUUAGCUAGUUGGUGGGGUAAAGGCCUACCAAGGCAUCGAUCAGUAGCUGGUCUGAGAGGACGACCAGCCACACUGGGACUGAGACACGGCCCAGACUCCUACGGGAGGCAGCAGUGGGGAAUUUUGGACAAUGGGCGCAAGCCUGAUCCAGCAAUGCCGCGUGAGUGAAGAAGGCCUUCGGGUUGUAAAGCUCUUUUGUCAGGGAAGAAACGGUUCGGGUUAAUACCUUGGGCUAAUGACGGUACCUGAAGAAUAAGCACCGGCUAACUACGUGCCAGCAGCCGCGGUAAUACGUAGGGUGCAAGCGUUAAUCGGAAUUACUGGGCGUAAAGCGUGCGCAGGCGGUUGUGCAAGACAGAUGUGAAAUCCCCGGGCUCAACCUGGGAAUUGCAUUUGUGACUGUACGGCUAGAGUGUGUCAGAGGGGGGUAGAAUUCCACGUGUGGCAGUGAAAUGCGUAGAGAUGUGGAGGAAUACCGAUGGCGAAGGCAGCCCCCUGGGAUAACACUGACGCUCAUGCACGAAAGCGUGGGGAGCAAACAGGANUAGAUACCCUGGUAGUCCACGCCCUAAACGAUGUCUACUAGUUGUCGGGUCUUUAUUGACUUGGNAACGCAGCUAACGCGUGAAGUAGACCGCCUGGGGAGUACGGUCGCAAGAUUAAAACUCAAAGGAAUUGACGGGGACCCGCACAAGCGGNGGNNGANGUNGNUUAAUUCGAUGCAACGCGAAAAACCUUACCUACCCUUGAC